rnacentral:rRNA from 1 species
GAUGAACGCUAGCUACAGGCUUAACACAUGCAAGUCGAGGGGCAGCAUGAACUUAGCUUGCUAAGUUUGAUGGCGACCGGCGCACGGGUGAGUAACACGUAUCCAACCUGCCGAUGACUCGGGGAUAGCCUUUCGAAAGAAAGAUUAAUACCCGAUGGCAUAGUUCUUCCGCAUGGUAGAACUAUUAAAGAACUUCGGUCAUCGAUGGGGAUGCGUUCCAUUAGGUUGUUGGCGGGGUAACGGCCCACCAAGCCUUCGAUGGAUAGGGGGUUCUGAGAGGAAGGUCCCCCACAUUGGAACUGAGACACGGUCCAAACUCCUACGGGAGGCAGCAGUGAGGAAUAUUGGUCAAUGGACGAGAGUCUGAACCAGCCAAGUAGCGUGAAGGAUGACUGCCCUAUGGGUUGUAAACUUCUUUUAUACGGGAAUAAAGUGAGGCACGUGUGCCUUUUUGUAUGUACCGUAUGAAUAAGGAUCGGCUAACUCCGUG